UGGGGAAUAUUGCACAAUGGAGGGAACUCUGAUGCAGCAACGCCGCGUGCGGGAUGACGGCCUUCGGGUUGUAAACCGCUUUCAGCCAUGACGAAGCUUUUGUGACGGUAGUGGUAGAAGAAGCACCGGCUAACUACGUGCCAGCAGCCGCGGUGAUACGUAGGGUGCGAGCGUUGUCCGGAAUUAUUGGGCGUAAAGAGCUUGUAGGCGGUUUGUCGCGUCGAUAGUGUAAACACGCAGCUUAACUGUGUGCCUGCUGUCGAUACGGGCGGACUAGAGGAGGGUAGGGGAGAAUGGAAUUCCCGGUGAGCGGUGGAAUGCGCAGAUAUCGGGAGGAACACCAGUGGCGAAGGCGGUUCUCUGGACCUUUCCUGACGCUGAGAAGCGAAAGCGUGGGUAGCAAACAGG
rnacentral:rRNA from 1 species